rnacentral:rRNA from 1 species
GACGAACGCUGGCGGCGUGCUUAACACAUGCAAGUCGAACGGAAAGGCCCUGCUUUUGUGGGGUGCUCGAGUGGCGAACGGGUGAGUAACACGUGAGUAACCUGCCCUUGACUUUGGGAUAACUUCAGGAAACUGGGGCUAAUACCGGAUAGGAGCUCCUGCUGCAUGGUGGGGGUUGGAAAGUUUCGGCGGUUGGGGAUGGACUCGCGGCUUAUCAGCUUGUUGGUGGGGUAGUGGCUUACCAAGGCUUUGACGGGUAGCCGGCCUGAGAGGGUGACCGGCCACAUUGGGACUGAGAUACGGCCCAGACUCCUACGGGAGGCAGCAGUGGGGAAUAUUGCACAAUGGGCGGAAGCCUGAUGCGGCGACGCCGCGUGCGGGAUGACGGCCUUCGGGUUGUAAACCGCUUUCGCCUGUGACGAAGCGUGAGUGACGGUAAUGGGUAAAGAAGCACCGGCUAACUACGUG